ACGGGUUUGGCUUUAGCAGCACAAACUGGAAUGAACCAGAAAAGAUCAGCAUGGCCCCUGAGCAAAGCUGGCACACAAAUUCAUGAAGUGUUCCAUUAAAAA
ensembl:snRNA U6 U6 spliceosomal RNA